UUUUUAUGACACUUUGAACCUGAAUGUGAAGGACCAUCUCGUUCCAUUACACUGAAGACAAAGGAAACAUCAGCCGACAACUCUGAAGGACUACGUAGCUGGAUAAACAGCGCGGCAGGGAGUGACUUUCCAGAUGGGACCUUAUCCUGACAGGCCCCUUAGGCCGAGAGAUUUUUUGUCGUCCCCGAGCGACACUUCGUGUUUCCGUUGGAAGCGGGACGAAGAAGAAAAAAAGGACGAAAGGGAUGGCGUUCUUUUGGAAAAGGAGAUCAGUGGGAAGAGGUAAGGAGGAACGGCAUGUCUUGUGACUGCUCUGUGUAGGUGGACUUGUCAGGUAGCCCAUUGGAUCGCAGCCACAAAGCAAACACACCGAGGCUAUGAAACGGAUUCAGAUAGGAAACGCUCUGAGGCCAACGUUUGACCGUGAGUUUGAGCUCAACCAUCACUUUUAGAUUUGAAAAUGUGUGGGCAACUUUGACAAGAGCUGGAACAGAAGUGGAACAAAGUUGAAACGCUGUCCUCCGGUGCUUUAUUUGUUCCUGUUAUUAUCUGGCAAGUUGUACACGAAUCAACAGUGUUUUGUUGAAACUCCAGAUGUCUGACUUUCCCAUCAGCACAGGAACUAAACAGUUUGCUAAAAUAAAAUAAAAUAAAAAAACAACAACACUAAAACGCUUUGCGAAAUGGUGGGAAUUCCACAUCUGAGCAGCUUGUGUUUGAGAUAACUGAUCAAAAUGUAUAAAAGCGCCGUCUGCUGUUCAAGGCCCAUUCCCGGUUCAGGCUGCGGUACUGGAUCACCACCAAAAAACUGAUCCCAAACCCCGCACGAAGUUUUAAGGAAAGCUGAAAGUAAGUGUGAAAAGAUCAAAAGCAAGUGUCAGACAAGAGGGACAAACAUGAAACAGAUACCAACUGAGAUGCAGAUGCCCACAUGGCUGCAGUUUACAACCAGCUUAGGAUGGCUCACAAAGAGUUUAUUUAUCCGGAGAGCUACGAAAUCAACAGGAUUAUCUUCAAAUUCCAAAGUACUGAAGAUGUAGCAAAGUACUGCAAGUUAAAAUAUGGCUGAGGUCCUUGUUGCAGGUCAUAAGAUGCCGUGCUCAUUACUGCCCCCUGUGGCCGAAGAGCAACAAACACCCUCUGUGGCUGUUAGCGCUAAUGUUUUUUUUUUCACGCAUUGUCCACAAGGGGCAGCAAAGAGCACAUUUGAACCAUAAACAAACUAGGACAAACCACAUGAUGGAGAGAUUUGUUAUUGGAGGUGUUUGCGAAUAAUCUAAUAAAUAUAAACUCCUAAAAUGAAAGAAAAGUGCUAACAACAGUUACCAAAAUUAAUUAUUAUUUUCUUCCUGGCAGGUUAGGCAGGUUAUCGGAAGGCCUGGGUUGUUAAUUUCCUUCAGUUGAAAAGGACUACAUAUGCUAUGAGGAUGUGUGAAAAAGGAAAUCUCUCUAUCACAAUCUGUUCAGCAAGGAAAAGUUGAAUUGCAGUUUUACAAACAGGAAUUCCUGACUGACAUGAUGCUACAUAAUCAAAGAUGGCAGUCAAGUCGUUUUAAUUCAACCCAAAUCCACAAUCUGAAUCCCCUCACUACUCUUCAAAGGAAGGUUCUCUCAGACCUUUAAGUGGCCGCUGUUUAACCCUCCAGAUCAGAGAUUCCUGACUUUUAUAACCACAAGGAGAUUGUUUUGAGUCUCUCACAUGGAGGCCACAGAGACCGGUUAAAACCCACUUGCUGUUGUCAUGCGGGGGAGCCUCGAAUAACAUGGCCGUGGACUGCUUUCAGGGGUCGUAACGAAGUAAAAAUAGGUUUAGGCUGCACGGUGGUCUGGUUAGUGAUGAGACAGAAAAUAUAACAAGCGAGAGAGAUAGAGAGAUGAUGGAGGGAGGGAUGGCAAAAGGCACAGCUGACCUUUAAAGCCUCAAACCAGACAGUGAGGGAUGGAGUAAAUAAAGAAGUCUCUGACAAACACACCGUGUUUACCCUCCCCUCAGCACUGAAUGGGGGAUAAUGAGGUUUGAGCGUAAGUGACAGAAGACGAUAUGUUGUGUAAAGAGAUUAAAUGGGAUUAUAACCCAAGUGGAAAGAAAGGGAGGACGAGGAUUAACAUUUUCAGAAAGAAAGAAAAACUGCAACUAGUUUCAUUUGAGUCGAAUUCUCUGAGAUCAAUAAAUGAUGAUCAAUAAAUGAUCUUGUGAUGACUAUGCCCUUCCUCUACUGCUGAGGUUACAGAUGUUCCUGCUGACGCUUCAUCUAAGGCUGUUAGUGCCACAACUACUGCUACUGCUAUGACAGCUUGUACUUAGACAACUACUGCUUUACUACUGAA